UGAGUACGAGAUGCUACGGCAUCGAAGCAGUCUAUGUCAUACUUCCAAGAAAAGCUUGCACUGUCAGAAACAGAUAAUGCCUGUACCAUAACCGACACAGGUGGGUAGGUAGAGUAUACUAAGGGGCGCGAGAUAACUCUCUCUAAGGAACUCGGCAAAAUGACUCCGUAACUUCGGGAGAAGGAGUGCCUUAUUUUUAAGGUUGCAAUAACAAGAUCCAAGCAACUGUUUACCAAAAACACAGGUCUCCGCUAAGUCGUAAGACGAUGUAUGGGGGCUGACGCCUGUCCAGUGCCAGAAGGUUAAAGAAGUCGGUUAGCAUUCGCGAAGCUGGUAACUGAAGCCCUGGUGAACGGCGGCCGUAACUAUAACGGUCCUAAGGUAGCGAAAUUCCUUGUCGGGUAAGUUCCGACCCGCACGAAAGGCGUAAUGAUUUGGAUACUGUCUCGGAGAGGGGCUCGGUGAAAUAGACUUGUCUGUGAAGAUGCGGACUACCUGCACCUGGACAGAAAGACCCUAUGAAGCUUUACUGUAACUUGAAAUUGAAAUUGGACUUUAUUUGCGCAGUAUAGGUGGGAGGCGUUGAAAAUAUUCUUGCGGGAAUAUUGGAGCCAUCAGUGAGAUACCACUCUUGUAAUGUUAGAUUUCUAACUUUAUAUCAUUAUCUGGUUAAAGAACAGUUUCAGGCGGGCAGUUUGACUGGGGCGGUCGCCUCCCAAAUGGUAACGGAGGCGCACAAAGGUUUCCUCUGAACGGGUAGAAAUCGUAUCUAGAGUGUAAAGGCAUAAGGAAGCUUGACUGUGAGACCUACAAGUCGAGCAGGGACGAAAGUCGGUCUUAGUGAUCUGACGGUGCUGAGUGGAAAGGCCGUCACUCAACGGAUAAAAGUUACUCUAGGAUAACAGGCUGAUCUCCCCCAAGAGUUCACAUCGACGGGGAGGUUUGGCACCUCGAUGUCGGCUCAUCGCAUCCUGGGGCGGUAGUACGUCCCAAGGGUUGGGCUGUUCGCCCAUGAAAGCGGUACGCGAGCUGGGUUCAGAACGUCGUGAGACAGUUCGGUCCAUAUCCGGUGUAGGCGUUAGAAUAUUGAGAGGAGCCUUCUUUAGUACGAGAGGACCGAGAAGGACAUACCUCUGGUGUACCAGUUAUCGUGCCAACGGUAAACGCUGGGUAGCUAUGUAUGGAGUGGAUAACCGCUGAAAGCAUCUAAGUGGGAAGCCCACCUCAAGAUAAG
rnacentral:rRNA from 1 species